GUAUUGAUUUAAUCAAAUAAUCCAUAACUUUUCAACAAAUAAUGCCAGAGAUAUUCAUAUUCAUAGCACAAUAAUUAGCACUGUGCAGUUCCAUUACACACAGUGGAUAUUUUAAAAAAUUAACUAACGGUAAAUAGUGGUACCACUCCGGGGCAAACAAGUAAUAAUUAGCCGAAUCCAAGGCGACUAUUGAAUCAUCUUCUUUGUCUUCAGUCAGCGAUAAUCGUUCGAAUGAACUUGUAUCACAAAAUGCGCCUAAUAAAUUUGGUACUGUUUGUUUUCUUGAUUGUGACCGUAUGUGCCGAUCACGUUACCAAUUUAGACAAGACGAGAAACAAUUCUACAGCAAAAUCACCAACGAGAGGCCCUCCGGUGGGAUCUAUAAUAAACGUCAGCACCAAGUGCCCGGAUGGAUAUCAGUGGGCUGAAGGACAGUGUCGAGAAGUGUUUUAGAAGAUUCUCAUCCUUAUGGAAUUUAUUGACCGUCCAAUAAUUAUAAUGUAUUAACCCUGCUGUGAAAAAUAAAUGUAAUAAAAUGUAAUAUUCUA